rnacentral:rRNA from 1 species
UCCGUAGGGUGAACCUGCGGAGGGAUCAUUACACAACAAAAUAUGAAGGCCUGGCUUUCGCGGCCGGCUGAAGUAUUUUUUUCACCCAUGUCUUUUGCGCACUUGUUGUUUCCUGGGCGGGUUCGCCCGCCACCAGGACCAAACCAUAAACCUUUUUUUCUUAUGCAGUUUCCAUCAGCGUCAGUAAAAACAAUGUAAUUAUUACAACUUUCAACAACGGAUCUCUUGGUUCUGGCAUCGAUGAAGAACGCAGCGAAAUGCGAUACGUAGUGUGAAUUGCAGAAUUCAGUGAAUCAUAGAAUCUUUGAACGCACAUUGCGCCCUUUGGUAUUCCAAAGGGCAUGCCUGUUCGAGCGUCAUUUGUACCUUCAAGCUUUGAUUGGUGUUGGGCGUUUUUUUGUCUCCCUCUUUCUGGGAGACUCGCCUUAAAACGACUGGCAGCCGGCCUACUGGUUUCGGAGCGCAGCACAUUUUUUGCGCUUUGUAUCAGGAGAAAAGGACGGUACUCCAUCAAGACUCUACAUUUUUCACUUUUGACCUCGGAUCACGUAGGAAUACCCGCUGAACUUAAGCAUAUCAAUAAGCGGAGGAAC